rnacentral:rRNA from 1 species
CUACGGGGGGCACCAGUGGGGGAUAUUGCACAAUGGGGGAAACCCUGAUGCAGCAACGCCGCGUGAAGGAAGACGGUUUUCGGAUUGUAAACUUCUAUCAGCAGGGAAGAAAUUGACGGUACCUGACUAAGAAGCCCCGGCUAACUACGUGCCAGCAGCCGCGGUAAUACGUAGGGGGCAAGCGUUAUCCGGAUUUACUGGGUGUAAAGGGUGCGUAGGCGGUUAUUUAAGUCAGAUGUGAAAGCCCGAGGCUCAACCUCGGGACUGCAUUUGAAACUGGAUAACUAGAGUACAGGAGAGGAAAGCGGAAUUCCUAGUGUAGCGGUGAAAUGCGUAGAUAUUAGGAAGAACACCAGUGGCGAAGGCGGCUUUCUGGACUGUAACUGACGCUGAGGCACGAAAGCGUGGGGAGCGAACAGGAUUAGAUACCCGUGUAGUC